UUAGUAUUCCUCUCCUUGUUUAUCCUCUCCUACUGAAGAAUCCACACCAACCUCCUCAUAACCCUUCUCAAAAGCAACCAUGUCCUCACAGGCCUCAGAAAAUUCCCCUUCCUCCGUGCCAUCACCCACCUACUAGCGAACAAAGGGACACUUGGCGUUCACCAGGUCAUACUUGUGGUCCAGGCGAGCCCAGGCCUCAGCAAUGGCUGUGGUGUUGCUCAGCAUACACACAGCUCACUGUACUUGGGCCACAUCUCCACCAGGUACCACAGUGGGGAGGCAGGUAAUUAGCACCAACUUUGAAGCCAGUGGAGCAGCAGUCCACAGACUUGAUGCUGCACAGGUCUUGAUGGGGGCAUGGCAGCACUGCACCUUUAGGAACAUGAUGCCACAGCAUGACAGGCAGCAACCCAUGUAUUUACCAUGGUGGAGGUCACAUUUCACCCCCUGGUUGGCUGGCUCAAAGCAUGCAUUGGUGACCUGUUCUAUAGAAAGCUGUUCAUGGUAGGCUUUAUCAGCAGAGAUUACAGGGCAUAUGCAGCCAGAGCAAAGUGGAUGCA
rnacentral:lncRNA from 1 species